AGAUUCAGCUGAAACUCAUCGGAAAUCAGAUCUGAUGAGGGCCUUAGUUCUGAUGACUACACUAACUUCAUCUGCUCGGAUUUCCAGUUAGUCAAGCUAGUUGCUGAGCCCUUUGUCCUGUUGUUUCCUUUAGACCAAUUUGGAAUGGUGGUGCUUCAUGAAUAAUCCAUGAGCAUUAACCAGCUGCAUGCAUAAGGGUAUUUCCACUGUGUCUUUGCCAUGGAUUUUCGAUGGUUCUGAUGUAAUUCAUAAGCAAUCAGGAAGAGCCAGACCCUGAUUUAAAGUAUCUUGAGAGCUCUGCGGGUCCUUUCAAGUUUCCAAAGGGAAGGCAUGAUAGUAACGGGUCUGUGAGUGGUCAGAACAGGGAUGUUUUCCCUGGAGAAUCUUUAAUGUCACAGUUGGCAGUAUUACAGGGAUGACGAAUAUACGAAGAUAAUUCUCAAAUUAUUUGAAAUAAAACUUGAUGCCAGCUUCUUUUGGUUCUUUCGGUUUCUGUCGUUGCCUUAGCCACUAAGUGGUGUGGGUUAAAACAAAAGCCAUAAUUAAAUUGAACCCAGUUUAAGGGGAAAAAUUGGGCAACUCUGCUUAACCAGAAGCAGGUGGUGCUGGAAUGCUCCAUGGAAGUGAGCCGUGAGAAGGGAAUGCAGAUUUUUUUAAUUGAAAACAGUUAAAAAUACUUGUGGUCUUUUGUGCCAGGCCGUGAUUAAGACAUAUGCAUAUACGUAUCUUAAUCACACACAUAUAUAUAUAUAUAUAUAUAUUUCAGUUUCAGAAAAACUGUGGUGGAAAUGCAGCAUAGUUUUAAUUAGAGGGGGCUUCGCAGCAAGGGAAGGAACUAAUCUGUGGCGUAAAGCAGCGCACGUCUUGUGCAGCGAGUGUUCCCCUGGGAAGCAGGAUGGAUGGAGCGUUCGUCUGUCUCCCCAUUGGCCGCCUGGGAUGGGAGAGCUGAUCUGGUGACAAGCAGAGGCUGGGCUAGCCUUACUACACAUGGAGGAGGUCGGGUGGCACUCAGGAUGCUGAAAGAACAAGAAAUAUGGCACUAAAACUAGAAGUGGAUUAUGCUACUUAACGGCUGAAAACUGAGGACUGGAAACUUGUAUCUCUACCUUCGAUCUGUGUUGUCAAGCAUUGAUCACUUGAAAUGCGGCUAGUGCAGCUGAAGACUGGAUUUUCAAUUCUGUUUAUUUUAUGAAAUUUAAGCUUAAAUCUUAAAAUGAUACACACUUGACUUAUUGGGAAGCUUUUAAGUAUUUUAGAACAACUUGGCCACAUGAAUCUACUUU
rnacentral:lncRNA from 1 species